GACGAACGCUGGCGGCGUGGAUUAGGCAUGCAAGUCGAACGGUAUCAUCCUUUCGGGGGUGAGAGAGUGGCGAACUGGUGAGUAACACGUAGGUUAUCUACCCUCAAGACGGGGACAACCCAGGGAAACUUGGGCUAAUACCGGAUGUGAGCAACUUUUAGUUGUUUGAAAGGUGGCGUAAGCUGUCGCUUGGGGACGAGCCUGCGUCCUAUUAGUUAGUUGGUGAGGUAACGGCUCACCUAGGCAAUGAUAGGUAGGCGGCCUUAACGGGUGGUCGCCCACACUGGGAUUGAGAUACGGCCCAGACUCCUACGGGAGGCAGCAGUCGAGAAUAGUCUACAAUGGUCGGAAGACUGAUAGUGCGACGCCGCGUGAACGAUGAAUCCCUUCGGGGUGUAAAGUUCUUUUAUAUGUGAGCAGUGCUUCUUAUAUUAACAGUAUGGGGAGAGAGAUAUUAGCAUAUGAAUAAGCAACGGCUAACUCCGUGCCAGCAGCCGCGGUAAUCU
rnacentral:rRNA from 1 species